AGCAGCCGCGGUAAUUCCAGCUCCAAUAGCGUAUAUUAAAGUUGUUGCAGUUAAAAAGCUCGUAGUUGAAUUUCGAGACCGGUUUAUUGGUCGUGCUUUUGUACGUACUGGUAUUAUUGGUUUCUCCUUUCUGACGAAUCUUAAUGCCAUUAAUUUGGUGUUUUUGGGGGAAUCAGGACUGUUACUUUGAAAAAAUUAGAGUGUUUAAAGCAGGCUCACGCUUGAAUACAUUAGCAUGGAAUAACGAAAUAGGACGUUUGAUUUUAUUUUGUUGGUUUCUAGGAUCGACGUAAUGAUUAAUAGGGAUAGUUGGGGGCAUUAGUAUUCAAUUGUCAGAGGUGAAAUUCUUGGAUUUAUUGAAGACUAACUACUGCGAAAGCAUUUGCCAAGGAUGUUUUCAUUAAUCAAGAACGAAAGUUAGGGGAUCGAAGACGAUCAGAUACCGUCGUAGUCUUAACCAUAAACUAUGCCGACUAGGGAUCGGAUGAUGUUAAUUUUUUCAAUGACUCAUUCGGCGCCU
rnacentral:rRNA from 1 species